rnacentral:tRNA from 1 species
GGGAAGGUGGCUCAGUGGUAGAGCGCUUGCCUUGCAUGCAUGAGGUCCUGGGUUCGAUUCCUCAGCGCCA